rnacentral:snRNA from 1 species
GUGCUUGAUUCGGCAGCACAUAUACUAAAACUGGAAUGAUACAGAGAAGAUUAGCAUGGCCUCUGUGCAAAGAUGACACACAAAUUUGUGUCAUUUUUUUUUU